GACGAACGCUGGCGGCGUGCUUAACACAUGCAAGUCGAACGGAAAGGCCCUGCUUUUGUGGGGUGCUCGAGUGGCGAACGGGUGAGUAACACGUGAGUAACCUGCCCUUGACUUUGGGAUAACUUCAGGAAACUGGGGCUAAUACCGGAUAGGAGCUCCUGCUGCAUGGUGGGGGUUGGAAAGUUUCGGCGGUUGGGGAUGGACUCGCGGCUUAUCAGCUUGUUGGUGGGGUAGUGGCUUACCAAGGCUUUGACGGGUAGCCGGCCUGAGAGGGUGACCGGCCAAAUUGGGACUGAGAUAAGGCCCCGGCUCCUACGGGAGGCAGCAGUGGGGAAUAUUGCACAAUGGGCGGAAGCCUGAUGCAGCAACGCCGCGUGCGGGAUGACGGCCUUCGGGUUGUAAACCGCUUUCGCCUGUGACGAAGCGUGAGUGACGGUAAUGGGUAAAGAAGCACCGGCUAACUACGUG
rnacentral:rRNA from 1 species